GAGUGAUUGCAUAAUUUUUUCAUGUAUAUUAUUAAUAAGUAAUAGUGUGGUUUCUCGUGCAAAACACUCGUGAGUUUUUAAAUAGUCUUUGAUAGUCUUUGAAAAAUUCACUCGUGCACGUUUUUUCCAAAUUGCACUCGAAACCAUACUAUUACCUACACCAACCUAUUUUCAAAAAGCUACUCGAACAGUCAGACAGAAAUUUAUAAGACUUAUAAAUAAAUUAACUUUUCCUAAUCAAUUUUAAUAGCUUGUAGAAAAAAAGCUGCAGUUAUCCAUGGGCGUACGGGCCUAAUCUUGUUUGGGAAGGGGCACAGUAUUGGUUUGCCCGACUGCUUUACAUUAUGUUACACAGUAUACCCAUAUACAACUUUGUCUAUUUUGUCAGGACCUUUUUUAAGAAUUUUCCAGUUGGGGGAGUGCAUUUUUGGAAAUGGGAGAUAGUACAUUAGUGGAGGAUACCACGCACCUUUCUGUAAGAUAGUACGUUAGUGGAGGAUAUCACGCAUGAAUCCCUGGGGGGAAUCCCCAGAAAAAUUUUGAAAUUUGUUAUUCUUCGCUGGUUUGUUUGUAUAAAUUUAGGAAAAAGGGACUUUUCCUGGGGGGGGGGGACGUCCCUUUAUUAAAAAGGCCCUGGAUUUUGUAUGUGCUUUUAUAAACAAAUGAGUAUGAUUUUGUAAAGACUGCUUUAGCACAAGUUUAACAGAAAUGUCUAGAAACACUAAGACAAAAACUAAGAACAAUGUUCAAUGUUCUGUAAUCUUCAUAAUCUUUGCCAUAAGCCAUCAUCAUUCAUAUACAGGUGUACUUCAUAUAUGACAAA